rnacentral:lncRNA from 1 species
UUAAGAGGCACUUGAAGCUGCCACACACCUAUCUGAUGGAGUACAAACCACAUGACGCCUCUCUGCGAGACAACUCGUCCUACAGGAACACAUGGCUGAGAGGUUAAGCUUUAUGUCGUCAAAACUAGUCAUGGCCCUCGUUCCGAACUACAGUAAAUCCUUGUGGAUUUCCAGUUCUGACGUUUCAACCCAGCCAUGAUGUAUGAUUACUCUUUGUCAUGCUACUAUGUACUCUCCAAAUUUCAAAUGCUGAAGUAUCGACUUUUAUGAUAUUCGCCCCUAUGCCUGUAUUGGUCGACUCGUUUUGGCAACUACUCCGUAUUUAGGUGAAGAAACCUCAUUCUUGCUCUUUGGAUUCUGCUGAUAAAUAUGGCAGAAAU